ACGCGACUCUCAUGCCGCGCGCAUCAAUAAAAGAGCUCACACCCAACAAUACACGCAUCAGUUUCUUCAACCUCCAGAAAUCAAGAAAGGGGAGACCGUUCAACUCCUCAUCCGACUUCUGUUUGGAUCACUGCCAUUCCGCGGCUCAUAAUCCACAGAAGAACAAAUUAUGGAUGAAGAAUCAGAGGUACCGGAGGUCAUUCUGUAGUGAUAAGAGAGGGCCUUAAGAGUUCUGUUCGAGUGUCUGUACAUGCACUCGUCGGUGAGCUUCUGAGGCCCUCUCUUCUCACUCCAGAAUGACCUCUGGCGCGCACCUCCGAGAUCUCGAUUCUUCAUCAAUGAUUUGUUGUUAUUUUGAUGUGGAUUAUCAACCGGGGAAUGGGACAGGUGGUUUGACAAGGAGUCUGAUGAAGGAAUUGAAGGGCAUUUUCGCCUUUCUUGAGUACGUCUACUUCAAAGGAAAACCGGUGGGGACACUUGCGGCUUAGCGGCUAUGAAUUUCAGCGGGGAGGCCUUGAACUACAAUAAGAGGUAUUUUCUCAACUUAUGGAGGAAGCUUCUUCUGGCUUUGAUUUCUACCCUGGUUAUGCUGAGAUUGGUUUGUCUCACCUCUGUUUUGCGGAGGCUUUUAUUAUGGAGAAUUUGAAAUAUGUUCAGUGUAUUGAAGGGGUUCUGGAUUCUUUCUCUGAUCUUUCUAGUUUUUCUUCUAAUCCAACUAAAAGUACUCUCUUCUUAUCGGGUAUUCCUGAUGAUGUAAAGACUCAAAUCAGAGGUUGUUUGAAUAUGGAGGAGGAUAAGCUGCCUGCAAGGUAAGGUUUCCUCUCAUUUCUAAAAAACUAUCUGCUGUUGAAUGUGAUAGUUUGAUUGGAGAAAUUGCUAGUCGUAUUACUUGGCUCUCUAAACACCUUUCUUUUGUGGGUCUUCUCCAGUUGAUCCAAUCUGUUCUGUUUGGGAAGCAAUCAUGCAAGUCUACUAGACUAAUAUUUUUAUUCUACCUAAGAGAGUUAUCCGAUUUAUUGAACAAAUGCUUAUUGUAUUCUUGUGGAAUGGCAAGAUAGAUGGGAUAGUUCGGGUUAAAGUCGCUUGGGAUGAUGUUUGCUUGCCUAAAGCUGCUAAGGUGGUUUGGGGUUGAGAAGGUUGGAGGAGUGGAAUAAUGCCUCUAUUUUGAGGCAUAUUUGGGCGUUGUUUGCAAAGUCAGGGUCUAUUUGGGUUGCUUGGGUGAAGUUGAACUUGCUGGAUGGUAGGCGUUUUUGGACUCUGGAGAUUUCUCAAGGUGGUUCUUGGUGUUGGAAAAAAUUGUUAAAGCUUUUGUUCUAUACCUGAGCAUUUUUUUUUUUUUUGAGAUUUAGAGUGGGGGAUAACAAUAAUAUUUUCAUGUGGCUUGACUCUUUGCAUCCAUCCGGAUGGUGUGUUGUUAGAUAAAUUUAACUUCCUGAUUGUUUGAAAUAUGUUCAGUGUUUUGGAUAUGUAUGAUCUUAUUUAUAUUCAAAGUCAGCUCUACAAGGUGGUUCUUGAAGCAAAGGAUCGAGCCAUAGAAUUGUAGUCUUUUUAUUGUAUUUGUACGCAUGAAUCAAAUGAUAUGGAUUACGCACGUCGCGUGUUUGACGCAA